GAUGAACGCCAGCGGCAGGCCUAAUACAUUCAAGUCGAACGGUGUAGCAAUACACAGUGGCGCACGGGUGCGUAACACGUAUGCAACCUACCUAUUAUUGGGGGAUAGCCUUUGGAAACGGAGAUUAAUAACGCAUAAGACAGUAACAUGGCAUCAUGUAGCUGUUAAAGCUUCGGCGAUGAUAGAUGGGCAUGCGUCCAAUUAGUUAGUUGGUGAGGUAAUGGCUCACCAAGACGAUGAUUGGUAGGAGAUCUGAGAGGAUAAUCCUCCACACUGGAACUGAGAUACGGGCCGGACUCCUACGGGAGGCAGCAGUAGGGAAUAUUGGGCAAUGGACGGAAGUCCGACCCAGCCAUGCCGCGUGCAGGAUGACGGCGUUAUGCGUUGUAAACUGCUUUUUUAUAGGAAGAAGGAGACCUUGCGAGGUUUGGUGACGGUACUAUAAGAAUAAGCACCGGCUAACUCCGUGCCAGCAGCCGCCGUAAGAC
rnacentral:rRNA from 1 species